GGAAAUUGAAGAUCCAGUUCUUAGUAUCCAUUCCACGAGAAUUCUAAGAAAUUUAUGCUCCUACGCUGGCCAUGAUUGCUUUCAACAAUUAAAGGGAGUCUCAGCUGCAGCACCUUCUGUUCUGAAGAAUAUAAU